AACCCUAAAGAAAUCAGAUUGGGCUAGGGUUAGGUGCGGCUACUUAAGUGGACUAGGGUUAAGGUUUGUAAAAUAGGGCUUCUAGGAUGGAAAGGUGCGGCAUGGGCUUAGGGUACAUAAUCAGAUUUUUGCAUGUGAACAAGGCCUAGGUGCGGCUGAUUAAGUGGCUAGGGUUAGGGUUUAGGUGCGGCAUAGGUCCAAGAAGUAAGGAUGGGUCAUCCAAAAGCCCAAAGCCGAGAAUAGAAACUCACGAAAAUGGAAACCUCCAAGAAUAGAAACUUCCAACUUUAGAAACUUUGGUUGCCAAUUCCGAUUUAGGAAAGAUCAACCCAAAAUGGAAACUUUUAGGCUUAGCUUUCCUACUUCAAGUAGGAAACCUCAAAUCUUCAACUCUUCAAUUCCAUCCCAACCUUGUGUUCCAAGCAUGUCCUUUUCAAACCAAGCUCAUAUUUUGCUCCAAAAGCUCCAACUUGCAUCAUUUCAUGUAAUAUGUCCUUUAAACCUGAAAACACAUGAAAGUAGCUUAAAAGACUACUUUAACGAAGAAAACAUAACAAAGAUGCAUCAGAACUAGCUAACUAAGGCGCAUAAAUAUGCUCCUAUCAAAUUCCCCCACACUUAGCUUUUGCUAGUCCUCGAGCAAAACAAACAAAAGAAAGGAAACAAAACGAAACCAACUUAACCAAAACAAAACCUAAACCUUCCAACGUUUGCCUCAGGGAUUUCCAAUGCACAUGACAUGUUAAAGAUUGUUGUCCCCACAGAUUUGAGUCAUCUUUACACAAGCAUACUUAAUUAAAGCCACCACUUACUAAUUCACAAGUAAUCAAUCAAAACAAUGCUUUGAAUGUAGUAACAUGUCUUAGAGAAUUCCCUCAAUUCCUUACAAGAUAUACACUCUAUUUUCACUCAGAUUUUCUAACUCCACACCCUACACUAGUCAUAUGUGAGAAGAUUGAUGUAGAUAUGAAAACGAAUGCUCACAUAUAUGUAUCACAAAGAACGCAAUUUCUAGAGUUAAGAAGCAUGUUUAGAUAUGAUCUCAUGAAUGGAAUGCUACUACUUAGAUGCGAGAACCAGUGACACCAUAUGCUCAUACCAAAUUCAAACUCCACAAAUUGAAACACAUAACACUCAAGAUAGAAGUUAAGGGUUGUAACGGGGCUUGGGGUAUUGGUUAACAAAGAAAGGAUAGGGAAAACAAACGUUCUUCAAGCAUUAGUAAGCAAAGUAGUGAAAUUGAGGCUUAGAAUUCACUUAGAUUGCAGAAAUUAACUUUAAAACACAAGGGAAAGAUUUAGAUAACUCUUUAGGGCCGAAUUCAUUGCUUUGGACCCUUACUUCAACAAACAAUACUUUGAAACUCUUUUUCACAUCUUUUCAACUCUUUUUUCAUACUUUUCACACUUUUUUCUUCAUUUUUUCUUUUUCCACGAAUUUUUUCUUUUCUUUUCUUUCCACACGUGCCUAUGGCACACAAAAUCACCAAAAGAAAUACUUCCCCCCACACUUGUUUUCUGCCAACAUAAAUCAAAAGGAAUUCAAUUCGAAUCAUGCAUUACUAGGCUUUAAGAACAAGGGUAUGGAUGGUCCUAAACUAGGCUAGGUGAGGUUAAUGUGGGUUAACAAAGAAAAGGCUAAACAAGGCUCAAUGGGGUUAAAACCUACAAAACAUAAUGACAUAGGGGAUUCAUGGCUUUUUGGCUAAGGUGGUGGUCACUACACAACUUCAUCUUGAAUAUGUGUUAUGCAAAUCAAUAACAUGCUUUCAAUGAAAUGGGCAUGAGUUUUAGCAUUUGGAACUUAAUGAUGAAACGCCUUCUAAAUAGUAACCAAGCAAGGAAUAAUGAGAUCAUGCAACGACUUAGAAAACAAAGAAUGCACAGAUUUUAACUCUCCAAAUAAACGUUUAGGCUCAAGUCUCACAAGGUUGUAGCGUUAGUUUGAGUUCCUUCCUUCAAGCAUGUUACAAAAACUGAUUUUUUCUUUUAUGAUUGCAUGUGAAUUCAUAAGUUAUAUCCACAACUAAGCAUAUCAAAGAGUAAAUCAAACUUUCAUCCAUGUUAAUCACUCUCUUUAACAGUCAUGCAAUUAAAAACCAAAUCCUCAUCAUUGUGUUGGAAGGUACCCUAAGACACAAACAAACACACAAAAACAACUCUUUUUGGGUUUUUAAAACAAAUUUUUCAAAUUUUUAUGUGAUUUUCGGAUUUUUGCAUCAAAACACACUAAAACACAUCAAAACUGCUCAAAAACACUUAAAAACAUCAAGGAACAAGUAUCCAAGUUAAGGGUGAUAAAAUCCCACGAAUUUGCAUCUAAAACACUUAGUUACCCCCCCCACACUUCAUUCAAACAUUGUCCUCAAUGUUUCAAGCAUAAAUACACACUAAACAAAAAGAAACACACAAACAGCAACUAAAACAACUAAAUAGGCAGAUUCGAAAUAAAUAACAAAGUGAAGAGUUUAGGAACACAAAUCUGGAAUUGGAGUAAGUCCUUGGUCUUCCUUUGUUGAAUUGCAUGGGUUGCCUCCCAAGUAGCGCUUUCUUUAACGUCGUACAGCCAGACGAAAAACACAAUCAUGCCCCAUUGGAGCCCACGGCAAGGAGUGGGAUCUCCACCACCACCUGCCCCACGGCACUCUCAUACAUUGCAUCUUUGAACGGUAAUGGAUAGUGAUGUUUGUUGAUGGGUGCGUUGUGUUGCCUAAGGUUCAUGUACAUGCGCCCACCAUCAGGGAUUUGCUUGGGUACCUGCACCAUAGAAGGGAACCACCUAUCAACAUUAAUGGGAAUUGGAUUUGGAUUAGGUGGCUUACCUAAGUGAUGUGAUGAAGUGGCAGCAAGGUAAACGUUCUUCCCCAUGGUGCUUUCGGCCACUGUGAGCACUUUGAGGGCAGUGGCCGUAUGGGCCUUGUACUCCACUCCAAUUCCCUCGUCUUGCAUGGUUCUUGAUGCAUCCUUUGUGCUUGGUGCUGAACGGUCCGGGCCUAUCUUUUCAAGUUUAUCAAUGGCACAACAAGAAUGAACAACAUUAGGAGUCUCAAUGGAUUCAGAAAUUUUAAAACUAAUCAUGUCACCACCAAAUGCCAUAGUUACUAAUCCUUUCGCCACAUCAAUCUUCGUUUGAGCCGUUUUCAUAAAUGGCCUUCCAAGGAGGAUGGGCAACGAAGGGGCAUGGUCCGAUUCAUCCAUUUCGAGGGACAUAGAAAUCCGCUGGGAAGACUAAACGAUCAACCUGCACUAAGACGUCUUCCAAAACUCCCUUUGGAUAAGCGUUAGAUCUAUCGGCCAAUUGUAUGAUUACACCAUCAUGUUUAAGUGCUCCUAGAUUCAUAGAUGCAUAAACAGAAUAUGGCAUAACAUUAAUAGAUGCUCCUAAAUCUAGCAUGGCAAAUUUGAAACGGGUAUUACCAAUGACACACGGAAUUGUAAAACUCCCCGGAUCUUUGCAUUUGGGGGGUAGUUUGCGUUGCAAGAUGGCGGAGACAUUCUCGCUUACAUGUACCACUUCUUUAUCCCGGACACGUUUCUUGGUUGUACAAAGCUUCUUUAAACACUUCGCAUACUUCGGGAUUUGCUUUAUGGCAUCAAGGAGGGGAAUGUUGACAUGCACCUUUCUAAAUGUCUCUAGAACAUCUAUUUCCUCCUCGUCGUUCUUUGAUUGCAAAAAUCUGCUAGGAAAGGGGACAUUCAAAGGAAAAACAUUAGUAGGAACCGAAUUUGACACAUUCUUACCUUUAUUGGCCGAUUUGGACAAUUUGGGGACAUUAGAAGCUUGUGGCAAAGAUGGAACCUCCUUUGCCGUGGGCAUGCUUGAUUCCUCCUCUUCAAUUUGCACAUUUACAUCACUUUGGGGACCUGUUUGUGUAGAACCUGCCCUAAUCUCUUUUCCACUCCUUAGCAUGAUUGCAUUUGCGCUUUCGAAACCUCCCUUCGGAUUUGGAAUGGUGGAACUAGGGAGUUGUCCGGGAUCUCGAAACUUACCUACAAACUCAGCAAUCUGCCCAAUUUGUUUCUCAAGUUGAUCCACCCUUUUGUCUUGGUUUUGCAUAGCUCUAGCUUGAUCUUCCUGCCCAUUAGACAACUUAGUUAGUAUCUUAAGAAGUGCAUCAUUGUCAAGAGACGUACCUGAGGCACUUGGGCCGGAUUGGGCUUGAUUUUGGGGUGGGCCGUAGGUUUUGGGAAAGAACCCCAGGGGUUGUUGCCUAAAGCCUCCUUGAUUUUGAGGUUGUUGGGGAUCCCUCCACUUGAAAUUUGGGUGGUCUCGCCACCCCGAAUUAUACGUGUUGGAGUAUGGAUCGUGUCUUGACUGAUUUUGGCUUUGAAACCCAAUGGCAUUCGCACUCUCCCAUCCGCCAUUCUCGAUGAGUUGAGGACAUUUUUCGGAGACAUGUCCUUGGAUAGAACAUACGCCACAUACCACAGGUCCUUGCAUCUUCAUUCCCUCGGCCAUCUGUGAAACAAUAGAAGUAAGAUUAGCCAAUUGUGAAUGAAGAUCGGAAGUCGCACUUACCUCAUGUACUUUGGUGCCGUGAGGGUCCUCUUUGGCCUACACCCUCGUACUGUUGAGCGUUCAACGCUCUAUUAGCAAUCAAGACCUUGGCAGCCAUGGGUGUUUUGUCCACCAAUGCUCCCCCCGCCGAAGCAUCAAGCAUUUGACGUUCUAGAGGUAGGAGGCCCUCGUAGAAAUAUUGCAAGAGCAAUUCCUCCUUCAUCUGAUGCUGUGGACAAGAAGCAACAAGUGAUUUAAAUCGUUCAUAAUAUGUAGGAAAAGACUCACCUUCUUCUUGCUGAAUUCCGCUUAUCUUUUUGCGUAGGAGGAUGAUGCGAGAAGUUGGAAAGAACUUCUCCAAGAACGCUCUCUUCAUACUCUCCCAAGAAGUGACAGUGCCGGGAGCUAACUCGUAUAACCAAUCCUUGGCUUUAUCCAUCAAAGAGAAUGGAAAAGCCUUCAUCUUCAAGAUACAUCCGUCAACAUUGACGGGAGUCAUACUAGAGCAAACCACUUCAAAUUCUUUCAAAUGUUUGUUAGGAUCUUCCAUGGACAAGCCAUGGUAUUUAGGAAUAUGAUGAAGCAAACUUGACUUUAAUUCAAACUCGUCCGUCUUACCUUGGGCAGCCACGGGGUAUUGGAUGCACAAGGGUGCGGCAUUAUCCAAACCCGAGGCGGAAAGCUCCUUGAGUGUACGAUUGUCCAUGGCCAUGCCUUGGACUUCUUCAAAUAUCCCUGCCGUGGCUUCCUCCUCCACUUCUUGUACGUUUUCUUCAAGGUCAGAUUCGGAAUUGGGUGAAUGGUAUUCUUGCUGGUUUCUAGCUCUUCUUAACUUCCUCUCAAAAUCGUCGUCAAAAUCCAAGAUGUUUGCACGAAUCGGUUGAGAGCUUCUAGUCAUACAUUAGUACCUAAGAAACAAGAAACAAAAUUAGGUCAGAAACUUAAACAAAGUCAGAAACAAAGUGAAAUAAAAGAAACAAAAACAAUCCAAGGGAUUUGCAAAAUUGCUAAUCCCCGGCAACGGCGCCAAAAAUUUGAUGCGAAAUAGAUAAGCACACAAAUUAAACCCUCUUUUGUCAAAUUGUAGUAGAGAUGUAAGUAGGGAUCGUUCUAGACCGGGGAUUAGGAGGGAUUGCUAAACACUUGGAAACUGACUUAAAAACUCAAAAACAAAGUUUAGAACACUAAACUAGACUCAAAGAAUGCAAAAGUAAAGGUUAAAACACUUAAACAAACCUAAAACUCAAAACAGCAACUAGAAGGCUCAAAACUGCCUAAAAACCACUUUCUGGGCAGUUUUGAGCACCUACACUAAUUUGGACGAAAAUUGAUGAAAACUUGAAUCAAAAUACUUAGAAACACAAAUCAAAACACUUUCUAACUAAUCUAAGACUUCAAAUUAAAGGGGGAUUUGUUUUGGACGAAAAUUUAACACAAAACAGAAACUUUAACUAACACAGAUUGUAAAAACGAUUUUGGUGAAAUAGAUGGUUAAAAGGCUAGUUAGGAGGUUCUUCUCCACACAUGUCACACUUGCACACAAAACGAUUUUCAGUUGUUCUUCCAAUAAAUUAUGAAUACUCAACGCCCCAAAUUAACCGUGAAUUGCACUAAUUAACCCUCAGUUUUUCCACAAGUUAUUAGGUUGGAUUGAUUGCAUACGACAACCCAAAACAUUCCCUACAAGUUCCCUACAUGAAUUGCAUAAUAGAGAUACAAGCACGAAUCAUUACGUUCUAUUGAAAAACAUAAGCAUUGACAAAGCAUUUGUUACUAUGAAUUGCAUGAAACUUAUGCUAAGAAUUCAUUCAACGCGAUCGUUUUCAAGCGACCUUCACUACUUGUGAUUAUAAGAUUGUAACUAUUAGGUGAAACUCCCUCAUAAUCUAGCAUCAUAUUCAUGCAUGAAAACUAAGCGUGCACUUCUCAAUCAACACACACAAAUAAAGUCAGUAUCAAUCAAAUAGAUGAACGAAUUGAAUCCACAACUUAUGAAAUAAUAACUGAAUGUAAUCAAAUCAUAUUGCAAGCAUAUACAUGGUUUCGAAUUACCCCCCAACUAAGGGGGUUUAGUUCUUCAUACUCACAACACAAAGUUUAUUGAAUUGAAACAUCGAAGACAUAAGAAAGAUUACACCUAAAACGCCCAAGAAUUCCACUUUGAAUUUCUGACUUCAAGCUCCUCUUUCUUCUUCUCCUUGCUGCGGCAGAGAGGGUUUAGGGUGUUUUUGGAUGUGAUUUUGGUUUUAGAAUGGAGUUAGGAUAGUAUGGUGGUGCGGCAAAGGGGUAAGGAUGGUGUAUGGAAGUGUAGAAUGGUGUAUGGAGGUGGAUGGUAGCUUCGGCAAAGGAUGGGAAGUGGCUGGAAUGGAUGAAGGCUGCGGCAAGGUGUGGGAAUAGGGUUUAGACGAUUUCUGAUUUGUAGAAUGGGAGAUGAUGUGCGGCAAGGGGGUAGAACACAUAUAUAUAGGCACCUAAAACCCUAAGAAAUCAGAUUGGGCUAGGGUUAGGUGCGGCUACAUAAGUGGACUAGGGUUAAGGUUUGUAAAAUAGGGCUUCUAGGAUGGAAAGUGCGGCAUGGGCUUAGGGUACAUAAUCAGAUUUUUGCAUGUGAACAAGGCCUAGGUGCGGCUGAUUAAGUGGCUAGGGUUAGGGUUUAGGUGCGACAUAGGUCCAAGAAGUAAGGAUGGGUCAUCCAAAAGCCCAAAGCCGAGAAUAGAAACUCACGAAAAUGGAAACCUCCAAGAAUAGAAACUUCCAACUUUUAGAAACUUUGGUUGCCAAUUCCGAUUUAGGAAAGAUCAACCCAAAAUGGAAACUUUUAGGCUUAGCUUUC
rnacentral:lncRNA from 1 species